UUGAAGGGUUAUAUAGAUGGGUCAAAUGAUAGAGCAACGUCUUGAAGGGCUCUCCCUUAGUCGAAUAGAACUUGAUUUAGUAAGGAUAAAAGUGUUAUAAGCUUGAUGAAAAGGUGUUAGAAUUUACCGUAACAGUAUUUAGGCUGACGAAAAUCUACCCGAUGGGGUGUUGUAAAUCAUAAUGCUUGGGCUUAAUGA
rfam:Bacillus weihaiensis strain Alg07 chromosome, complete genome.